ensembl:lncRNA
UGGGAUUUGGGCCAUCCUUUGGCACAUCUGGGGCCAUGUGGGGCCACCCCACACCCUCCAGGCCGACCCUGGUGGUAUUUAUGGGGUCUGGGUUGGGUUUGGGGACACCUGGGGUCAUCCCAUGCCGUAUGGGAUGGUCCUGGGGGUGUUUAUGGGGUCAGGGUUGGGUCUGGGGACAUCUCGGUCUUCUCAUGCCUUAUGGGGUGAUCCUGGGUGUGUUUAUGGGGUCAGGGUUGGGUUUGGGGACACCUGGGGUCAUCCCAUUCUCUAUAGGAUUGUCCUGGUGGUAUUUAUGGGGUCAGGGUUGGGUUUGUGGUCUUUUGGGGUCGAUGGAAGCAUCAGAAGAACUUUAGGAAGGUCUGUAUGGGAUUUUGGCCAUCCUUUGGCACAUCUGGGGCCAUGUGGGGCCACCCCACACCCUCCAGGCCGACCCUGGUGGUAUUUAUGGGGUCAGGGUUGGGUUUGGGGACACCUGGGGUCAUCCUAUGCCCUAUGGGAUGGUCCUGGGGGUGUUUAUGGGGUCAGGGUUGGGUUUGGGGAUACCUGGGGUCAUGCCAGGCCUUAUGGGGUGAUCCUGGGGGUGUUUAUGGGGUCAGGGUUGGGUUUGGUGACAUCUGGGUUCAUCCCAUGCCUUAUGGGGUGAUCCUG